UAUAAAUGUUUUAUCUCUUAUUUGGUUUAUUUUUAAGCUAAUAUUUAAUAUUAAUCGAUAUUAUAAUUAAAUACAGUUGAAAUCAUCAUCAUUAUCAUUCUUUGGUGCAUUGUUAAUUGUUGAUAUGUUAUUUGGUGCGUUGAUGUUGAGGCCACGCGCUUUGCCCUUAGCUUUUUUUUGUUGUUGGUCUUUUCCGUAUCUACUGCUUUUAAUAUUUACCAACCAUCAUCAUUUAGAAGCUAAUCACUCCUCAUCAAUUAAUUAUUGAUUGUUGUUGAUAAUUCUUAAUAAUACUGAUUCUUCCUACUUUCAUCUCUCUUCUAACCGGUUGACCAUUUUGAGUUGUUACAACUGAUCAACUGUUUUGAUUGGCUUCAUUAUUAUUAAUAACGUAAAUUUUAAUCGAUCAACUUGUUGGCAUCGUUUUACAUGAUUAAAAGAUUUGAAGGAAAGCUUCAAAAAGGUAACUAAUGAUUUAGCUAAUGAUUUUUCAUCAACUAUUCAAUGUCAUCCGCUAUGUGAUUCCAGUUCCGAAAUGUAUUUUCAUUACAACAUUUUUGGCUUGGUAAACCUUGAAUAUAAUUACAACAAUCUAAAUUACAAGUAAAUAACAAAAAAGAGUUGAAAAUGAUGAAAAAAACUUCAUUUUGGCCUUAUUUUCAAGUCGAGUGAACGGAACUGAUUGUUUGAAUAGUUAUUAAUGGUAAUGAACUCAAUUACACAUUCAGAUUGACUUUGAUAAAUAUAUUCAACGAUAUUUUCACUGCAGUGGGUUAACUUUGAGUAAUUCAAACUACCCGUUUGAUUUGGAUCAUAUAAUAUUUCAGGAACUGAUUUUAUUACCGAUCCAGCAUGUGGUAAUCUUGGUGGAUAUUGAUGAAAGAUGAACCCGAACUAUUUAACAUUACUGUUUUCAGGAUUUUUAUAUUUCUUUACGGGAUGAAGCUUGUGUAGUUAUAAAAUGACUUAUUUGAACUCAUUGAAAUAAGGAGGUUGAUUAGAUAUUUAAAAAAACGAUUUAAUUUAGAUUAACAUUAUUGCAUUGAGGCAUCCUAACAGUUCAGCUUCCACAGCUGAUAAAAAUUCUGGACGUACAACGUGAUUGCAUUUUGAUAACGAAGGAUUUAAAACUUAAAAGCCCACUAAACAAAGAUUAAACUCAAGAAGUGUUUUUACCGGGAUGUACUUGAAAAAUCGGGAAUGUUGUGGCUGGAAAAGG